ACAAAGGCCUCUCUCCAUCGGCAAUUGAGGCCACAUACAGUAUAAAUUCAUUAAUA
rfam:Lepisosteus oculatus linkage group LG15, whole genome shotgun sequence.